UGAAUCUAUGCAAAUCCAAUCCAUGACGUAGAAGUAAUGUGAUCCUCCACUACAAACAAUAUGGCGGCGCCCGGUGGUGAUAAACUUCUAUCAAGAGCAGGAUUGGGGGGUUUCCUCCAGAGGGUGUGUGGUCUGUGGGGGUGUGGCUCACCCUGGGGUGUCCAAUCCCAGCAGCACCGACAGUUCUUCUGGAGGAAGUGGAAGAGCUCUCGCAGUGUAGUCAGACCGGCUGUCGUCAGACCAGCCUACUCAGUGCCCAAGCAUAUCCUGAGGCCUGACUAUGUGAACAGUGGUCAGGUCCCAGACUGGCCAGACUACAUAGAGAUCAAAGACCAGGAGCAGAUCCAGGGCCUGACCAGAGCCUGCCAGCUAGCCAGACAGAUACUGCUGCUGGCCGGACGCAGUCUCAAGAUUGGCAUGAUGACAGACGAGAUAGAUUUUAUUGUCCACCAGGAGACGAUUCGUCACAACGCGUACCCCUCUCCCCUGAGAUAUGGGGGGUUCCCCAAAUCAGUCUGUACCUCUGUCAAUAAUGUGGUCUGCCAUGGCAUACCUGACACCCGACAACUGCAAGAUGGCGACAUUAUCAACGUUGAUGUGACUGUCUAUCUGGAGGGUUACCAUGGUGACACUUCAGAGACGUUCCUGAUUGGCUGUGUGGACGAGGUGGGGCGAAAGCUAGUGAAGACAGCCAGGAAGUGUAGAGAUGAUGCCAUUGCUGCCUGUAAACCUGGGGCUCCACUGUGUGUUAUAGGUAACACUAUCAGUGAAAUAGCCCAUUCCAAUGGUUUCCAUGUGUGUCCCUACUUCAUUGGGCAUGGCAUAGGCUCCUACUUCCAUUGCCAUCCUGAGAUCUGGCACCAUGCUAAUGCCAAUGAUAUGACCAUGGAUGAAGGGAUGGCCUUCACUAUAGAGCCCAUAUUGAUGGAAGGAUCGUCAGAGUUCAGAAUCCUGAAGGACAAGUGGACAGCAGUGUCUGCAGACGACAAGAGGUCAGCCCAGUUUGAACACACAGUAGUCAUCACCUCUGACGGUGUGGAUAUUCUCACCAAACUACCCGAGGAAGAUGAGCCAUCGCCAAUAGGAGUCUAAUCACUCUUUUCAGAUCAGCUGUUCACACCCCAGUCACAUCAUCUAUGAAGAGCCUAGAGUGGUGUCAUCUCCUAUUCAAGCCAUGGAAUGACUGAAGCUUCAGGUGUCUGCUCUUCUGGAUGAGACGGUCUGGUGUGACGUGAACCAGGAGACUGAUGGGUGGGCAAGAAGCCAAAGAAAAAUCCCCUUGACUGUGACACCUUGUACACCUUAAUACCCAAUUCAUGUUAUCAUGAUUCGAUACUCUUAUUAUACAAUCUGUUAUUAUGACAAAGGUUUUAUAUAUUUUGUAGUUUUUUUUGUUUUGUUCUAACUUUUUCACUUGCAAAGAAUGUUGUAAGCUUUUGGAUAUUUGUUUCGCCCUCAGUGCGCUCAACUCGUACUCACCUUCGGAUCAGCGAGAGGUUAUGGCGCCAUCUGGGGGUCUUUGUGUGAUGUUGCUACAACCCGGCAGACACAUACCAAUAGUCUACUCCACCUUACACACUUCAUAAUUACCAACGGCGCCAGUGCUCACCCACACAGGCGAGCAAAACAACCAUUAAGGCUGACUGAGGUGACUGAGGGUAUAUUUACACUGUCUAUGUGUGCCCACCACGCAUUAAGGCUUACCUCUGACUCCACUGUAAAUAUAAAUCAUGAUCUUGAGACCACAGCAGCAGCUGCAAGUGGGGUAUAGGUUAGGCUGUGUCUCAAUAGUCUAAAGUUGCUUCCUCUCCUUCAUCUGCCUUUAUCUGAAAACACAGGCUAGUUGAAAGCGCACCAUGAAUAUAUCAUCACCUGUCCAUAUGAAGACUAUCAAUAUGGACCCCUCCAUUUCCUUUACUUCACAUUAGUGUUGAGUCAUGGGGGACAUUUUACUGUACUUGAUAACCACAUGGCCACUAGAUGGCCUUGCAUGGCUCUUUAUGUACAGCCUGUAGCCUUAGUAAUAACAGUAUCCUUCUAUGCAUAAAAGCCAAGGCCCUUUACCAACAUGUCAGGAGCGUUAUGAUACUUGUGGUAGUGCACUAGCUAUAUUUCCGCAGGGUCGCUGGUUCAAACCCAGCUCUGGCUGUCGCCACAGUGUGUUGUUUAGGAGGAAGAUAAACGCAAACAUAACAUUUACUGCUAUUACAUUGUCAAAGUAAUGUAAGCCACACUGAUGCCUCAAUGGAAAUGUCUAAUUAUGAAAUGUUAGAUACUUUAGUUGUAUUGUUCUGUAGUUGUAGUGUUCUUAGUUUUUAAAUGUGUGUUGCUGUUCUUGUCUAUUGGUGUUCAGUAUUAUUUCAUGUUUUGUGUGGACCCCAGGAAGAGUAGCUGCUGCUUCUUCAACAGCUGAUGGGAUCUGAAUAAAAUCAUGAAUCAUAAAAUUACAUUUCAAAUCAAGGUUUACAGUUAUCAAGAAACACCAAGAAUCUUUUGCAGGGCAAAUUCCUGGAAUAGUUGAGAGGCAGUUGGUGCAUUCUUCAUCUGUUUGUAUGUAUUUGAUAAUUAAGUAUUUUUAAAAUUAAUUACCUAUUCAAUAUUUGAUCAAAGAAGAGCUGACUGGGUGUGAUGUGAAAGUUUUGCUUUGACCUGGUAUAGCCAAUCCAUACAGUAUAUUUAUAGUAUCCCUAUAGUACAGUGUUGUGUAAAAUAACUCCACUUUGAGGCUACUGUAGCCAGACUUAAACAUCUGAGAGAAA